rnacentral:rRNA from 1 species
UACGGAGGGUGCGAGCGUUGUCCGGAAUCAUUGGGCGUAAAGGGCGCGUAGGUGGCCCGGUCAGUCCGUGGUGAAAGCGCGGGGCUCAACCCCGCGUCGGCCAUGAAUACUGCUGGGCUGGAGCACUGUAGAGGCAGGCGGAAUUCCGGGUGUAGCGGUGGAAUGCGUAGAGAUCCGGAAGAACACCGGUGGCGAAGGCGGCCCGCUGGGCAGUGACUGACGCUGAGGCGCGACAGCGUGGGGAGCAAACAGG